AGUGAACGCUGGCGGCAGGCCUAACACAUGCAAGUCGAGCGGCAGCGCGGGGGCAACCCUGGCGGCGAGCGGCGGACGGGUGAGGAAUUCGUCGGAAUCUGCCUUUUUGUGGGGGAUAACGUAGGGAAACUUACGCUAAUACCGCAUACGUCCUACGGGAGAAAGUGGGGGGCCGCAAGGCCUCACGCAGAAAGAUGAGCCGACGACCGGUUAGCUAGUUGGUGGGGUAAAGGCCCACCAAGGCGACGUUCGGUAGCUGGUCUGAGAGGAUGAUCAGCCACACUGGGACUGAGACACGGCCCAGACUCCUACGGGAGGCAGCAGUGGGGAAUAUUAGACAAUGGGCGCAAGCCUGAUCCAGCCAUGCCGCGUGUGUGAAGAAGGCCUUCGGGUUGUAAAGCACUUUUGUCCGGAAAGAAAUCCCUGGAGCUAAUACCUUCGGGGGAUGACGGUACCGGAAGAAUAAGCACCGGCUAACUUCGUG
rnacentral:rRNA from 1 species